AGUGAACGCUGGCGGUAGGCCUAACACAUGCAAGUCGAACGGCAGCACAGUAAGAGCUUGCUCUUAUGGGUGGCGAGUGGCGGACGGGUGAGGAAUACAUCGGAAUCUACCUUUUCGUGGGGGAUAACGUAGGGAAACUUACGCUAAUACCGCAUACGACCUUCGGGUGAAAGCAGGGGACCUUCGGGCCUUGCGCGGAUAGAUGAGCCGAUGUCGGAUUAGCUAGUUGGCGGGGUAAAGGCCCACCAAGGCGACGAUCCGUAGCUGGUCUGAGAGGAUGAUCAGCCACACUGGAACUGAGACACGGUCCAGACUCCUACGGGAGGCAGCAGUGGGGAAUAUUGGACAAUGGGCGCAAGCCUGAUCCAGCCAUACCGCGUGGGUGAAGAAGGCCUUCGGGUUGUAAAGCCCUUUUGUUGGGAAAGAAAAGCAGUCGGCUAAUACCCGGUUGUUCUGACGGUACCCAAAGAAUAAGCACCGGCUAACUUCGUGCCAGCCGCCGCAGUAA
rnacentral:rRNA from 1 species